AGUGGCAGAAGGGAGAGGGAGAGGGAGUGGGAGCGAGGGUUUUCUUGGCAUGAAAUGGAAAGUGGGCGAGAAGGAGAAGGAGCGAGGGUUUUCUUGGAAUGAAACGGAAAGUGGGCGAGAUGGAGAAGGAGCGAGGGUUUUCUUGGAAUGAAAGGGAAAGUGGUCGAGAGGGAGAAGGAGCGAGGGUUUACUGCGUGUGUGCCUUAGAAAUGAAGCUAAGUUCUCCAGGGAUUUUCCUUGGAGGGUAGGAGAUCGGGUCAUGUCGCUGGAUCGGUGGAGAUAGGUUUGUGUUUUCCUGGCGAGCUCGUCCGAAAAUUGACGCCGUGAUUAUGCUGGAGUAAGUUUCCAGGGUUGUCGAAAAAUGUUUUACACCCGUUCAUCUUGGCGAAGAAGGGUCCUCUGAGGACGAUCUGGAUUGCUGCUCAUUAGGAGGGUAAGCUGAGGAAGAAUCAGGUCGCGGAUACGGACGUCGGCCUCUCUAUAGGAUUUUAUUCAAAUUGACAGUUCAAGCCUCAAGGACCUUGUUGAGAUUGACAUAGAUGCUGCACGUGGACCAUCCGACUGUGAAAUGGCAGACUACUUUAUACUUCUUAUGCCUCUGAAAUUUAAACAUAAUAUCGACAUGACAUCCUUUAACAGGUUUAUCGAGUUUCAUUACUAGGAGGCCAGCAAUACAUAUCAACUCUUGAGAAGCCAUUUCCCAAUAUUCCAAUGGUUGCCUCUCAAGUUCAUUAGAUGAUCUGAAAGUUCGAAUGGUGAGUGAUCUGUGCCACCAUAUUCUUGGGGAGUUGGACAUGCUGCAUUUUUCUUCUGGUCUCAGAGCUCUCACAAUUUCUCCUGCAGUUGAACCCUUGGCAGUCCUAUUACCUUUGACAUUCUUACAGCUUUAAACAUCUGGCAUGCUAAUUAUUUUUUGGACACCAUUGGGAUACAUGAUGAUCUACGGUUGGACCUUUGGCUUAAAUUCUUGGCAUUAGGAUCAUAUGCGCUGUGCUGGAGAUGUUUGCUUCUCUCAAGUUUUUCGUGAGGGCCGAGGUAAGUGUUACUUUUUUCCCCCUCAUAUUUUUCUCUACACUUCUAUCUCAAUGAAUGAUUUAGUGGACCAUUUUGCUGCAUUCCAUGGAAUACUGUAUAAAGACAAAAAAAAGGCGGCAAUGAUGGCAGCAUUUCUUUUACUAUCCGCUUUCCUAGUGAGGUUGCUCGGUCUGCUGUCACUACUUUUCUGGUGCUUUCAAUAUUAAUCCUCUGCCUCUAUGUGCUGCUAUGUCACCGCUGCAAGUGUGUCAUUAGUGUUUAGGGGUGUGUGUCAUGAAGAGUGAGAUGUAAAAUCGAUGCAGUGCAAAAAAAAAAAAAAUGUUGAUAUGAUCGGAGCGUGAAGGAGGUGCAGUGGAGUAGCUUUCAUACAGGUAUAGGUGAAAAUUGAUUGUGGUGGUUUUAGUUCUCAUUCAGAUUUCUUUGCUGAAUUGGAUGAAAAUAAAUCUAGACAGACUGGAGAGGAGCAUGACACCACAUUCUCAUCAACGUCUUUGCAAUUUCAAUUGCAAAAUCAAGCUGGUUUUGUUCAAGGAAGAACACAACAAACUGAUGCGAUCAGUGGUGGUUUGCGGUCAUCUUCAUCUUCUGUCUUUGGUAGUUCUUCUAUAAAAAAAAAACCCAAUAAAAAGGUCGUUGAGAAGGACCCAAAUGGUUGUGCUGCAAACUGCGAAUCAGAAGCUCAUGCUCACAGCACAGAGGGUGCUACAUCAUACCAGCAGCUUCAAUAUAGUCCUGAGUAUUGGGAAAGCCUGCUGGAUGGAGGUAUGAUCACAAUACAGAGGAAUGGCACCGGAUAGAUGGUUAAGUGCUGGAUUUGGUGGGAGAAUUGUGGUCCUGAAAGUAAAUGAUCCUUUCGGCAGGAAUUCAGCACUUGAGAAUCUUAUGUUACAUAUUUCAGUUGUCCUUUUUCUAAGUUGAUUCAUAAGUUUGCUUGACUUCUUAUGUUUAACUGUCGUUUCAUGUGAAGGAUCCAGUAGGAAGCAUGACUUUAGUUCAUAACAUGAUGGAGAUUGUGAAAGAUAAAUUUGGUGAUGGAAGCUAUAAAAGCAGCGCAUGCGAUUAUUUCCAUACUUUAUGUACACAUGAAAUUUCACUGUUGAACACGGAAGGAUACCUUGUUGCAGCAUGCUUAGAGAUAAGGCCUGAGUCUCCACCAACAGCAGCACAAAACAAGAUCAAGGGCGUCUUCCCUUCAUCUACAUACUGAAGAUCUAGCAUGAAGGAAGAAAAGAGAACUAAAACCACAUUCUGAUCACAUCCACAUACAGAUUGCAUGCAGAAGAAAGUUUAUGAUCUUAUAUAGUAAAAUAUUAUUUUCUUUACGAAUGUUAUCAAAUGCCAAAAAGAGAAAACAUUUCAGCUCUU